AAAUUGAAGAGUUUGAUCAUGGCUCAGAUUGAACGCUGGCGGCAGGCCUAACACAUGCAAGUCGAACGGUAACAGGAAGCAGCUUGCUGCUUUGCUGACGAGUGGCGGACGGGUGAGUAAUGUCUGGGAAACUGCCUGAUGGAGGGGGAUAACUACUGGAAACGGUGGCUAAUACCGCAUAACGUCGCAAGACCAAAGAGGGGGACCUUCGGGCCUCUUGCCAUCAGAUGUGCCCAGAUGGGAUUAGCUUGUUGGUGAGGUAACGGCUCACCAAGGCGACGAUCCCUAGCUGGUCUGAGAGGAUGACCAGCCACACUGGAACUGAGACACGGUCCAGACUCCUACGGGAGGCAGCAGUGGGGAAUAUUGCACAAUGGGCGCAAGCCUGAUGCAGCCAUGCCGCGUGUAUGAAGAAGGCCUUCGGGUUGUAAAGUACUUUCAGCGGGGAGGAAGGUGUUGUGGUUAAUAACCGCAGCAAUUGACGUUACCCGCAGAAGAAGCACCGGCUAACUCCGUGCCAGCAGCCGCGGUAAUACGGAGGGUGCAAGCGUUAAUCGGAAUUACUGGGCGUAAAGCGCACGCAGGCGGUCUGUCAAGUCGGAUGUGAAAUCCCCGGGCUCAACCUGGGAACUGCAUUCGAAACUGGCAGGCUUGAGUCUUGUAGAGGGGGGUAGAAUUCCAGGUGUAGCGGUGAAAUGCGUAGAGAUCUGGAGGAAUACCGGUGGCGAAGGCGGCCCCCUGGACAAAGACUGACGCUCAGGUGCGAAAGCGUGGGGAGCAAACAGGAUUAGAUACCCUGGUAGUCCACGCCGUAAACGAUGUCUACUUGGAGGUUGUGCCCUUGAGGCGUGGCUUCCGGAGCUAACGCGUUAAGUAGACCGCCUGGGGAGUACGGCCGCAAGGUUAAAACUCAAAUGAAUUGACGGGGGCCCGCACAAGCGGUGGAGCAUGUGGUUUAAUUCGAUGCAACGCGAAGAACCUUACCUGGUCUUGACAUCCACGGAAGUUUUCAGAGAUGAGAAUGUGC
rnacentral:rRNA from 1 species